rnacentral:rRNA from 1 species
ACUCCUGCGGGAGGCAGCAGUGGGGAAUUUUGGACAAUGGGCGAAAGCCUGAUCCAGCAAUGCCGCGUGAGUGAAGAAGGCCUUCGGGUUGUAAAGCUCUUUUGUCAGGGAAGAAACGGUGAGAGCUAAUAUCUCUUGCUAAUGACGGUACCUGAAGAAUAAGCACCGGCUAACUACGUGCCAGCAGCCGCGGUAAUACGUAGGGUGCAAGCGUUAAUCGGAAUUACUGGGCGUAAAGCGUGCGCAGGCGGUUUUGUAAGUCUGAUGUGAAAUCCCCGGGCUCAACCUGGGAAUUGCAUUGGGGACUGCAAGGCUAGGAUCUGGCAGAGGGGGGUAGAAUUCCACGUGUAGCAGUGAAAUGCGUAGAUAUGUGGAGGAACACCGAUGGCGAAGGCAGCCCCCUGGGUCAAGAUUGACGCUCAUGCACGAAAGCGUGGGGAGCAAACAGGAUUAGAUACCCGGGUAGUCCCAUGAU